UCAGACGAUGCGUCAUGCAUAUCAAUAAGCGGAGGAAAAGAAACUAACAAGGAUUCCCCUAGUAACGGCGAGUGAAGCGGGAAGAGCUCAAAUUUGAAAUCUUAAAGGGUUUCCCUUUACGAAUUGUAGUUUAAAGAAGUGUUUUCUGUUGAGGCUUUGGUAAAAGUUCUUUGGAAUAGGACAUCAUAGAGGGUGAGAAUCCCGUAUUUGACCUUUACUUUCAACUUUGUGAUACACUUUCAAAGAGUCGGAUUGUUUGGGAAUGCAGUCCAAAAUGGGUGGUAAAUUUCAUCUAAAGCUAAAUAUUGGCGAGAGACCGAUAGCGAACAAGUACCGUGAGGGAAAGAUGAAAAGAACUUUGAAAAGAGAGUUAAACAGUACGUGAAAUUGUCAAAAGGGAAGCGUUUGACACCAGUGUUGUUUUUCUGAAAAUCAAUUAAAGAACUGUUUAUGCUAAGUUGUUUAGACUUUAUCAGCUAACUGUUUAGUUUUGAGCUUUUCUUUAAUGCACUUUUCAGUUAACAAGUCAACAUCAAUUUCUUUUGCUGUAAAAAAGCUUGAGGAAGGUGGCUUGAGAUUCGUCUUAAGUGUUUAUAGCCUCUUGCCUAUGCAGUCGGAGAGAUUGAGGUCUGCAGCGUAGAUCCCUUCGGGGCUAAAUGCAUUUGUGCUAAGUUAUAGCAUUUUAUAGACAACUUGUUGACUAUGAUUUGUCUUGUAGCUUACUCGCUUAUGUUAUUUUACCUACGCUUAGGAUGUUGAGCGCAUGUCUCUCUCU
rnacentral:rRNA from 1 species